rnacentral:tRNA from 1 species
CUUAGCUCAGCUGGUAGAGCAACGGUCUUGUAAACCGUAGGUCGCGAGUUCGAGUCUCGCAG